rnacentral:rRNA from 1 species
CCUACGGGCGGCAGCAGUGAGGAAUAUUGGUCAAUGGGCGGAAGCCUGAACCAGCCAAGUCGCGUGCGGGAUGAAGGCCCUAUGGGUCGUAAACCGCUUUUGUACGGGGAUAACACCCUCCACGUGUGGAGGUCUGCAGGUACCGUGCGAAUAAGGGCCGGCUAAUUCCGUGCCAGCAGCCGCGGUAAUACGGAGGGCUCGAGCGUUAUCCGGAUUUAUUGGGCUUAAAGGGAGCGUAGGCGGGCGGUCAAGUCAGCGGUAAAAUCCCGCGGCUCAACCGCGCACCGCCGUUGAAACUGGACGCCUUGAGUUCACAACAGGCAGGCGGAAUGCGUGGUGUAGCGGUGAAAUGCAUAGAUAUCA